UGACGGAGUCCAGGCAGGUCACAGGUGCUGCACUUGAAUGGGGGAUAAUUGAUAAGUGUGAAUGAGAGGAGUAGCAGGAAGAGGAUGAUUUGCCAUUUUGCAAAAAGGGCAAUAACAGAGAAAUAGAGGCCACCAUCUGUGUGAAUACUUCACUGUGAUUAUCUCUCACCAUCAUCAAAUAGUUCAGAGCACUGAUCCUCACGAGUUGGACAUUUCCCCAUGAAACAGUAGCCUUCUGAGUUCUUACAAGGAAAUCCAUUGACCCUGAACUGGUCCUUAGGACAGGCAGGCGAGUGGCCAGUGCACAUCUCAGGAAAAUCACAUUCAUCUUUCGCCGGCCUGCAUAUGGACCCUGCUUUUUUUAUCUGUUGAGGAAAAACAAAGAGACUAAAUCCUGGAUACAUUUAGGGUCGUACUGCUUCCCUGUACUGAAGUGUGAUGUGAGACUAUUCAGCUGCUGAAGAUCUGAUUUUACCUUUUGCUCAAGCUGCCCAUUAUUUCAGGCUGACUUUUAUUUUUUAAAGUAUCAUUAAAUAACAUCAAAAUGGUAACUUCUGCCCUAUUUUCUCAAAC
rnacentral:lncRNA from 1 species